AUUGAACGCUGGCGGCAGGCCUAACACAUGCAAGUCGAACGAGUAGCGGACGGGUGAGUAAUGUAUGGGAAACUGCCUGAUGGAGGGGGAUAACUAGUGUAAACGGUAGAUAAAACCGCAUACCAUCAGAUGUGCCGAGGGGGGUGUAGGUUGUGGGUGGGGUAACGGCUCACCAAGGCGACGAUCCCUAGCUGGGCUGAGAGGAUGACCGGCAACACGGGAACUGAGACACGGUCCAGACUCCUACGGGAGGCAGCAGUGGGGAAUAUUGCACAAUGGGCGCAAGCCUGAUACAGCAAUGCCGCGGGUAUGAAGAAGGCCUUCGGGUUGUAAAGUACUUUCGGCGGGGAGGCGUUACCCGCAGAAGAAGCACCGGCUAACUCCGUGCCAGCAGCCGCGGUAAUUC
rnacentral:rRNA from 1 species